AUGUACGAAAUUGUAUAUCAUCUUUCUAAUAAAUUUCCUGCCUCAGUAACUGCUCGUGGUCCUGUAAGAGUUGGCUGGGAUCCCAUGUCACAUGUAGGAGGAUACACUGAGUUGAGGGUUUGUUCUAAUACUGACUCUGCCCGUUGUCCUGGAAAAAUUGGCUGGGAUCCCUUGUCACAUGUAGGAUACACUGAGUUGAAGAUUAGUUCUGAUACUGACUCUGAGUUUCCAUUUUCUGAUCACGACGAUGGUAGCAGUUUCAUCAGUGGAAUUCAUGAGCCUAAGAGGGAAGGAUUUGUAGUUCAAUGUGUUUCAAAGCACCAGUGGAAGGUUUGAAUCCAGCAAAGCAGAGCAAUGUUUCCUACAAACACAAACCUUCACCUUCUGAUCCAUGUGUGCAGCCAGAUGGUAGCAAGGCCUCUGAGGUAAAGGUCUUGGGUGCCAAUGUUGCUGUUGAGAAUGGCUUCGAUGAGCCUAACUGGCAGUGGCAACAAGCGAGUUGGACGUCCAAUCCUUCUGCAUUAGCUGAGCUUAUUUCACCAGAUGAUGUCCCUCCAUCAUCUAAUGUUGUUGAAACAUGCAUGCCAUGGAUAAAUAUUACUGGGACAAGCGACUUUGGACAUGCAUCCACCAAUAAGAACGACAAACUUUUGAAGUCUAUAAGGGCAACAGAUGGAGCAUCUGCUAAAACUGAUCCUAUCAUAUAUGAUCCAGCUCUUGUAAAGCCAAAUCAUAUUAGUGUAAAUGUUGUGUCUGAGUCAGCAGCCACCGGUAAAGAAGCAGAUUUGUCUGGUAUUGUUAAAGAACCAACAUUGAAGGAACCUGAUAGAGUUGAUGGGGAACUGAAACAGUCGGCUUCACAAAAUUCUUCUGCGCAGGAGAGUAAUUUAUCAUCAAAUAAUACAAUGUCUGGGGUAAAUGGUUGCGCUGAUGAAAAGCAGGUAACUGAUGCUUCCAAAUCUAAUCCAAAGCCAAUGCUUCAUACAACAGCAGUAGAAUCUGCUCUUGAAUCUCUGGAUGGAGGCUAUGUCGAAGUACCCGAAGCUAGUAAUGAUCGUCUUUUUUCUGAAACUACGCUUUUAGAGUUUGAGGAUGAAAAGUUAUACAUUUCAAAUUGUUUGAAGAGCUUGGAGAGGAAGCUCUCUGAAAUUUCCUGUAAUGGGGUUCCCUCCAACAUGCCUAAUGGUGGGCAAGCUAGAAAGUAUAUGGAUGAUGAACCAAUUCAAGAAGAGACUCCUAGACAAGAGAGGGUUCUAUUAAAUGGUCAGGUUGAAGAGAAUGUUGUGCAUGGACAAAAAGAUUUACAUGUAUCUAACGGAAGCUCUGCUGCUCAAGAGGGGCCAGCUCAUUCUGAAAGUUUAGGCCAUGAAGAAAAAAAUGAUUCCGAUUUCCAUGGGCAAAAUGAUUUCAUGGAUCAUAGAGAAACCGAGUUGGUUGUUCUGGAAAAUGAAAUCUCAGACCUUAAUGAUAGGUUGGAGGCACUAGAGACUGAUCAUGAUUUUCUUGAGUACAUGCUUUACUCUCUUCAAAAUGGAAAUGAAGGCCUACGGUUUGUUCAAGACAUAGCUCAUCAGCUGCGAGAAUUGCGAAAACUUGGGACCGCUUUCAGAUGUCAGUCUGUUUCCUAACUUCAGAUGCACCAUCACAUGAUUUCUUUGAAAUACAAGGGCAGAAAUCAAAACCAAUGCUUCGAGUUUCAAUCAGCGAUCAUCUGAGUGCAAAAAUGAAGAAAUCAAUUGCAUUCCUUCAGUCACCUACAAUCAUGAAAAACCAAAAUGAAUUUCAUGUACAGGUACCGGCCAAAACUCU